UAAAUUAAAUAUUUGUAAUCAAUUUUUCGACACGAAAUUGGAGGAGCUAAUUAUUAUAUAUUUAUAGAUAGUAAGGUGUUGCAAAACUUGAUAAAUAAUAAUUAGGGGUGACAGACUUGUCAACGUCAAUGAUAACUUGAUAAUCACGAAAUGUAAAAAUACAGGGACACUUUUAAAAUGAUAAGGUUUUAGAAGUUAAAUAAUGUACUUAAAUAUAAUUAUAUUCUGUUUAAUCACUAAUAUAUUAAUAAUCUAUAAUAACUUAAGUGUAUUUAUUUAUAAUAUUGAUAAAUAUAUAAUAAUAUAUAUAUAUAUAAAUAAUGUUAAUAUUAGUAAUAUUAAGUAUAGAACAUGAACUCGGCAAUAAGUCUUUUAACUGUUUACCAAAAACAUAGCUACAUGUAAUUACAUGUGGUAAUUUCUGCUCAAUGAAGUUUAAAUAGCCGCAGUACUCUGACUGUGCUAAGGUAGCGCAAUCAAUUGGCUUUUAAUUGGAGUCCUGCAUGAAAGAAAACAUAAGGGGCUACUUUAUUUUUUGUACUUAGAGAACUUACUUAAAAAGUGCAAAUUCUUUUAUAUAAAUAAUAGACGAGAAGACCCUAGAAAUUUUAUAGAAGAGACUUUUUGUUGGGGCAACAAAGUAGCAAUAAUAAUCUACUUUAAAUACAUGAAAGACAUAUUUUGAAAGAUUAAAUUACUCUAGGGAUAACAGCAUAAUUUUCGAAAGUUUGUGACCUCGAUGUUGGAUUAGGGCAUUACAUUAAAAG
rnacentral:rRNA from 1 species